rnacentral:tRNA from 1 species
UGCGGGAUCGUCUAAUGGUAGGACACCGGCCUUUGAAGCCGGGCAUCUAGGUUCGAAUCCUAGUCCCGCAA